rnacentral:sRNA from 1 species
CUGAAAUCACUAAAAACUCCUGCCGCUCACAACC